UUUUUUCUUUUUUUUUUCCAAGAGGACACACUCAGCCACCCACCUCAUGGGACUGCUAUGAGAAUGACUGAAAUAAUUAAUUGUGAAGAGCUUUGUGCCCCUGGGAGUAAGAACACUAUGUGCUCCUGAAUGCAGGUUUCUGAUAACUGUGGAGACUGUGACAUCAGAAUAGAGGAAAAACUUUCAGGACUCAUGGAGAGCUGAAAUGUUCAUGAAUAUUAAGCAGAACAGGAAUUAACUGCAUGGACUAAACUAACAGAAGUCUAAAGACACAACUGGAGAAACUGGUUAUUUUACCAAGGCUUAGGCUGGAAUGGUGUGCUUUCCUUUAAAGAAUCAAACUUGACUUAUGGAGCCAAUAAAAGCCUCUUGGGAAAACUGGCCUCAUACAUGUCUACACAGUCCCUGUAUAGGGUUCCUGACCUGUGAUAUAUUAUAAAACAAGAAAUUUAGUUCCAAUGUAUCCAAGCUGUCCCUUCGGAAGGUGAUCAGAAGAGAGAAAUGAGUUUGGAAAAGAAAAGGAAUAGCUGAACAAGAGCAAGUGAUUUCAGAAAUCUAAACCCUGAGAAAACAUGGGUAACAGAGAAGAACUUCUGCUGUGAUAUCUACUUCUGCAGGGAGUAGAGAAACAGAAGUAGAAGGUAAAUCUGAGGCCAACUACUUCCUUGGGAAACACCACCAUCUCUCAGUCAGCAAAGACAGAACCAGAGAGAGAGACUCUGCAAGUUCAGGAAGAAAGGUUCCAACUACUUUUACUCUCCGUUGCAUCUCCUAAUGUCACCACUUCCUCAGAGCAGGGUUUAGUCACUACUACAAAACAUUGCUCAGGAACUGCAGAGCCACUAGCCUGGCAUGUGGUGACACAUUCCCAACACAAUUCUCUAACAUUCUGAUUUCCCUUGCAAAGAUAAAUUCAAGCGAACUUAGAACUCUUAAAGAUCAGAUUGAGAUUGAAUGCCAUUGGCUUUCUCCCCAUACCUAUGCUCCUACACAUCUCUUCAGCCCAGCACAGGGUUUUAAAAGCUCACUGCUUAACACAGGGCUAUCUCCUCUGCUGGUUAUGAGCUGCAAGGAUAGAGUCCAUGUCCUGUUUGUGUUGGUGUUCCUGGCCACUAGCCAAGAACCUGCAGCCCAGCCCUAGAAUAGCAGUUGAAUGAAUGUGGCAGCCCACACACUCAAAGACACCAGAAUUAUCUUACCCUUUCCCAGAGAGCUUCAGGUACCUUUCUUUUCCUAAAUGAGUCACUAAUGUGUCUGUAUAAAUAUGGUUUCCAUAUAUGUCACAGAGCCCAAACAUUUCAUCUGACUUACUGUGGUUUACUUUUUGUGACUGCAUUUUUAUUAUAUCUUAUAUAAAAAGGGGGAUAUAACAGAAGGAAAAAACAGUAAAGCAAAAACCCAUAUCUAGCUUCAGAGCAUUACAUAUCCACUGGAAGCCCUAAAGCAAUGCUCCAUGAUCGCAUGGCCUUUCCGCUGCAUAACCCUGAGGUCAUUUUUUGAUACAUAAUUCUCAAAGUAUGCAGUGCUGAAAGACCUUGAAGAGCUUUCUUAAAUGAUGUUAUGGUUAAAAUUUCUAUGAUUGCAGUCCUUGAAAUCAUAAAAGAAUAAAUACAUCCUUGGAAAAGA
ensembl:lncRNA CYP2U1-AS1 CYP2U1 and SGMS2 antisense RNA 1